UACGAAGGGGGCUAGCGUUGCUCGGAAUUACUGGGCGUAAAGGGCGCGUAGGCGGACAGUUUAGUCAGAGGUGAAAGCCCAGGGCUCAACCUUGGAAUUGCCUUUGAUACUGGCUGUCUUGAGUUCGGGAGAGGUGAGUGGAAUUCCGAGUGUAGAGGUGAAAUUCGUAGAUAUUCGGCGGAACACCAGUGGCGACGGCGACUCACUGGCCCGAUACUGACGCUGAGGCGCGAAAGCGUGGGGAGCAAACAGG
rnacentral:rRNA from 1 species